GAAACNUGCGUUAGCAGAUAGACCUGUGGACAUGUAUGAAACAACUAAAAGCCCGGGCUCGUCCCGGCACCAACUAAACCNGGCGCGGAUUGCGCCAAGGACUAUGAACACAAUCGUGCCCCGCGCGGCCGCUACUUCGGCCCGCGCGGCGGCGGCGUGUCGUUUCUAUCGAAUUGAACGACUCUCGGCAACGGAUAUCUCGGCUCUCGCAUCGAUGAAGAACGUAGCGAAAUGCGAUACUUGGUGUGAAUUGCAGAAUCCCGUGAACCAUCGAGUCUUUGAACGCAAGUUGCGCCCGAAGCCCUCGUGGCCAGGGCACGUCUGUCUGGGCGUCACGCACCGCGUUGCCCCACCCCCUCCUGGGGGGUCGGGGCGGAGAUUGGCCUCCCGUGCGCCCUUGCGCGCGGUUGGCCCAAACUGAGACCCCGCGGCCGCGAGACGGCGCGACGACCGGUGGAGUAGUCCCUACGCAUCGCUUCGCGUCCUGAGCGGCCCCAGUGGCCAGGAUGACCCUUUGCGACCCCAGAUCAGGCGGGAUUACCCGCUGAGUUUAAGCAUAUCAAUAAGCGGAGGAAAAGAAA
rnacentral:rRNA from 1 species